CUUUAUUUGAAUGAUCUGAUGAGCUAACUCUAGGGUUCAAUGUUUUUAAAAAAAGCAACACUUUGCCAGUGAAGUAUACCAGUGAGGUCCCUGUGCCUUUAAGACUCAGAAUUAUUUGGGCUAAAGCCAGAUACCAUCUGCAUUUCACUGUUUCAGUCCCGGGAGACGCUCCGCGGAUACAAUCUUUCUACAGAGCGAAGUCUGAAUGGGGGCCGGAGGGAGAACGAGGAUGGACAGGACGUCCCAGAAAGCCAUCGGCGGCAGGGCCAUGCCUCGCACCUGACCUGCACAGCAGGUGGCCCAGAGCUCAAGUCAAGCAGCCGCCAGUCCCGAGUCCCGCCCUUUGAGAGGGCGCAGGCCCGGACAACGCUGGCUCAAAUACGUGAUAAACACCGCUCGUCGACUAUACACUCAACAACCAAAAUAAGUCUCUGUAUGGACUGAAAUAGAAAUGCAAGUAUAUUGAGUGCUGAAAAUAAAGCAAGAUGUUUCUGUUGGAGUGGAUCAAUGGAAGGAAGAACUCUCCUUUAAAAGAUCUCUUGAACAUAGAUGGAGGAAUGAUGAGUCGUGUUUAAUUAUUUAAGUAUGGAAUUCACCCAAAAGGGCACUUGAUGCUUCUGGUUUAUUGGGAGAUACUGGAUGUGAAAGACAGCAAAAUCCCGGAACUGGAAAGGCCAGAUGAAGAAAAGUGUGUGGAAAGUAAACAAUGCAGUGAUCGGAGGCGUGUGUGCACUUUCCUUGGACUUUAGAUGGAAGAGGGUCAACAUGCACUUUGUUUCCGUCUGUGUGAUUGACUCGCUCUAUGCCAUGCUUGCUAACUGAGACCUUCCUUCAGCUCUUCAGCUGAGCUUCAUUCAACCCGGUGCCUGGCACAGAUUGGAAAUGAAGUGAAAUAGAGGAAAGAGCAUGAGAUUUACAUGUGGAAGAUUUGGGUUCAAGUCCUGCUCAUCGUUUGUGUGCUGUGACCUCCAGGCAGCAGUCAGCUAACCAUCGGUAACGUUAGUGUGUCAUGGGUAUGUUAACAUCCAUGGGGUGUUUGGCAUUCGGUAUGUUUGGCAUAUAUGAGGGAGUUUGGCAUACAGUAGAUUUUCCCAUACAUGCUAAUCUACUGUGAUGUCGUUAAUAUUUAUGGAUUAAAUAAAUCGAGAUCAACUGAUUACUUAAAAGCCUCAGUAUAUGCAAGGGAAGAAAUUCAGAAGACCACACUUUUUGGGGAGCAAUUCAUGUCCUAAUUUUGUCUGAAUAAAAACAUGUGUCCCAG
rnacentral:lncRNA from 1 species